rnacentral:lncRNA from 1 species
CUACAGCUCCCGGGGUGGCCCGUGGAGACCAGUGCUACUCGGGGGUCGGUGUCUGCUUUGGGAGCCUUCUCGCCUCGGCUUCUGGCAAAGGCAGUGCUUUCCAAGCAUGCAGCGGGCAGGGACGUGGUCACCGGAGUCCCCGACCUGUUCUGAGUGACAGCAGAGCCGGGUCCAGGCUUCCCUCGCCGUGGAUGGGGCACCUGGUGACGUCCAGGAUGCCUCCUCCUCUUGGUCCCCAUCUCCACGUGUCCCUUUGCCAGAUAGAACCUGCAUAGAACACAGAAGCCCUGGCACCCUCCAUGUCCCCUCUUGUGCCAGAAAACAACGUUCUUUCCUCCACACCCCCCAAGUUGAGGGAAGCCUAGAUGUUUCAUAACAAAAGCCCUCCCCCACACCCCAUAAUAGCUUGUUUAUGUGGAAGCGGCUGCAGCCUUGGGGGUCUGAAGCUGGUGUGUGUGUAUGUUUGUUACAGGGACACACGUGAUUAUAUCUGAGGCCGUUUGUGGAGAAUUUUCUUCUCUGUAGAUUCUGUUUGGUUUGUUUUUAAUAAGGGUCAGAGGUCUGAGCUUCUGUGGGGAAGGGGGAAGGGUCACCUCGGAUGGCCAGGCCAAAGGGUCCCAGGGGGACAGGUCACGGGGCCUGCAAUGCUAGCAGAGGCCAGCAGCUAAAGCUGCUCCAUCUGGCUCUGUUCCUGGCGGCAGGCAAGCACAGGCAGCCAGCAGGAUGCUCCCUUGAGUGGAGCCCCAGAGGGGGACACCCUGGAACGGAGACUGGUCUCCCUGGGCAGGACAGCUGUCAUUUCUCAACUGUCCAAGAGAGAGAGAAGGGAGCUGCUGCUGGCUGGGUCUUUCUACAGCACUAUCAAUGGCGGGCUUGUGUAUGCCGCCUUCAGGUUGGCUGUGUGAAAUGAAGGGAGCCUUGAACUGCUUCCGAGUCCUGGCCAGCCAGCCCAGUGUGUGGACCGAGGGCUACAGGCUACAUAAGAGCAUUUCCACUCAGGACAGCCUAGCUCUGUGUGUCUUUCCCUCCUUCCUCACCCUGUAGACAUGGCAGGGGCGGGGGGGGGGGGCUGCUUACCCUGAAGGAGAGCCUGCCUGGUGUCCAAAGACAAUGCAUCCACCAUAGAGAUCCUGGGGUCACAGUUAACUCUUUUUUAGGGGAAGCUGUGGAGAUGUGGGGAGGAAGGAGCAGAGAGACUGGGCUGUAAUUCAGAGAAGGUCCCUGUCCUUGAGGCCAAAGCAGACUGAGACCUGAGAUGACAAAGCAGGCCCUCGUGGCUUGUGACUGUCCCUGGAGGGAGAUGGGUGCUCAGAAUCCGACGUCUAUUUACUGCAGCUGGAAGGGGUUCCUUCGCUGUCCCCUGGUCCCUGAGACCUAGGCUGACUGUGUCCAGAGGCUAUAGGCUUCAGGGGUUAAGAAGCAAGGAGGUGGGCCUUGGCUCUGCUACUAAAGCCCCGUGGAAUCAGAGGCAGGCCCCGUACCUUCCUUGGGCUUCAGUUUUCCCAUCUGGCAAACAGGAAGAGGGUCAAGGCAGCUACUGACUGCCUCAUAGUUGACCCAGUCAGUAUUUCUGAGGUCUGAAUGUCCUAUACCGCCAAUGGUAUCUUAGGUCAGGCUCAGGGAUAGUGGCCCAGAGGAGUGAAGUCACUCCCCAGGAAAAGCUAGAAGGUAGCACAGGCACCUGCCACACCCGCA